GAUUAUUUAGUUUAAUAAAAACCAGUGUUUUGAAAACACUAGAUAAGAAAAUUUUCUUAAUAAUCG
rnacentral:tRNA from 1 species